AAUCCUGAGGAAGCUGAUUGGUUUUAUACCCCUGUAUACACCACUUGUGACUUGACACCAAAUGGCCUCCCUUUGCCUUUUAAAUCGCCAAGAAUGAUGAGAAGUGCUAUCCAGCUUAUUUCUUCAAACUGGCCUUAUUGGAACCGGACUGAAGGUGCUGAUCACUUUUUUGUUGUGCCCCAUGACUUUGGAGCAUGCUUCCAUUAUCUAGAAUUGAAGGCAAUUGAAAGAGGAAUUCUUCAC
rnacentral:misc_RNA from 1 species